CGGGAAACCGGGGCUAAUACCGGAUAAUCCUCUGGACCUCAUGGUCCGGAGCUGAAAGACGGUUCUGCUGUCACUUAUAGAUGGGCCCGCGGCGCAUUAGCUAGUUGGUGAGGUAACGGCUCACCAAGGCGACGAUGCGUAGCCGACCUGAGAGGGUGAUCGGCCACACUGGGACUGAGACACGGCCCAGACUCCUACGGGAGGCAGCAGUAGGGAAUCUUCCGCAAUGGACGAAAGUCUGACGGAGCAACGCCGCGUGAGUGAAGAAGGUUUUCGGAUCGUAAAACUCUGUUGUCAGGGAAGAACAAGUGCGAGAGUAACUGCUCGCACCUUGACGGUACCUGGCCAGAAAGCCACGGCUAACUACGUGCCAGCAGCCGCGGUAAUACGUAGGUGGCAAGCGUUGUCCGGAAUUAUUGGGCGUAAAGCGCGCGCAGGCGGUCUUUUAAGUCUGAUGUGAAAGCCCCCGGCUCAACCGGGGAGGGUCAUUGGAAACUGGAGGACUUGAGUGCAGAAGAGGAGAGCGGAAUUCCACGUGUAGCGGUGAAAUGCGUAGAGAUGUGGAGGAACACCAGUGGCGAA
rnacentral:rRNA from 2 species